UACGUAGGUGGCAAGCGUUGUUCGGAAUUAUUGGGCGUAAAGGGCGCGUAGGCGGACGACUUAGUCAGAGGUAAAAGCCCAGGGCUCAACCUUGGAACUGCCUUUGAUACUGGUCGUCUUGAGUACGGGAGAGGUGAGUGGAACUCCGAGUGUAGAGGUGAAAUUCGUAGAUAUUCGGAAGAACACCAGUGGCGAAGGCGACUCACUGGCCCGUUACUGACGCUGAGGCGCGAAAGCGUGGGGAGCAAACAGG
rnacentral:rRNA from 1 species